rnacentral:rRNA from 1 species
AUUGAACGCUGGCGGCAGGCCUAACACAUGCAAGUCGAACGGUAACAGGAAACAGCUUGCUGUUUCGCUGACGAGUGGCGGACGGGUGAGUAAUGUCUGGGAAACUGCCUGAUGGAGAGGGAUAACUACUGGAAACGGUAGCUAAUACCGCAUAACGUCGCAAGACCAAAGAGGGGGACCUUCGGGCCUCUUGCCAUCGGAUGUGCCCAGAUGGGAUUAGCUAGUAGGUGGGGUAACGGCUCACCUAGGCGACGAUCCCUAGCUGGUCUGGGAGGAUGCCCAGCCACACGGGAACUGAGACACGGUCCAGACUCCUACGGGAGGCAGCAGUGGGGAAUAUUGCACAAUGGGCGCAAGCCUGAUGCAGCCAUGCCGCGUGUAUGAAGAAGGCCUUCGGGUUGUAAAGUACUUUCAGCGGGGAGGAAGGGAGUAAAGUCAAUACCUUUGCUCAUUGACGUUACCCGCAGAAGAAGCACCGGCUAACUCCGUGCCAGCCGCCGCGGUAA